CUUAUUAGUUACUUAGUAUUGCACCCAGUUUCUCCUUAAGAAAAUAAACUUUUCUUCCCAAUAGACCAUAGAGAGAUUUGCAUAACUGGGCACAAACUUGGUUCCCAUAGCAAGUCAGAAGUUUGUGACACACUAGUUAACACAAUAACACUUAAGCAGCUAUCAUCAAUUUCAGUUGUACUGGAUUUUUUAUUUAAAUCACUAUGAAAAGUACGGUAUCAGCUUAGGCAAGUGUGAAUUAAAGAGAUGUAAAUGAUGCCAUCCCUGUUACAGACUGAAGGGGUAAUAAACCCUGCAGUGAAUCAAACUGAAAACCCCCCCAAAAAACAAGUCAAUGGUAAUUGAUACUGAAGAUCAGGUAAAUUAGUUACAAGUAAUCGCAAUCCUUAUUUGGAUACCAAAUUAAGGUUGGGAUAUGGGUUUAGUAGAUAGCUCCCUAUUUGGUAUUCUUAUAGGGCAAUCCUGCAAAAAGAUACAAAAUUUGGGAGCUAUGUAAAAAAAAGAAAAAAAAAUUAAUUGAAGAAGCUUUUACAGCGAAACACGUUUUGGCACACUAGGACUGGACUUCAAAAGACUGGAUAAGUACUUGACAUUUAUUUGUUUUUAUAUUUCUAUUUUAUUCUUGUUAAUUAUAGCACAUUUUAGCAGUCUGUCCUGUUCCAGAUUGUGGAGUGUCACCCCACAAAUUGACACUAGGCAUUUCCACCGGAGAGCCAAGGCAUACAUUGGCUCUUGUAAAGAGAGUCCUUUUUACAUUGUGAUUUUAGGUCUGUGUUCCAUAUAGAUAUACUGCACCAUAAUCUCCUUUACCUGUUUAUCUUGAGAUCGAUACUCAUCCAAGAAGGUGAGGUGCUGUUUAUAAGAGCACAUCUGUGCUACUAUAGAGCCUUAUCCUCAGGCUCUGAAUAUUGUGAGUGUCUAAUUAUAUCAUUUGCAUACUUGCACUUUUUUUGUACCAAAUGUGCUAGUUCUAUUUUUUUCUCUUUUCAUGUUACCCCACAUCAAGACUUGGAUACUCUUUCAGAAGGGGUAAGCGAUUAUACAUUUG